rnacentral:rRNA from 1 species
UACGGGGGGAGCAAGCGUUGUUCGGAUUUACUGGGCGUAAAGGGCGCGUAGGCGGCCACCGCAAGUCGACUGUGAAAUCUCCGGGCUUAACCCGGAAAGGUCAGCCGAUACUGCGGGGCUAGAGUGCAGAAGGGGCAACUGGAAUUCUCGGUGUAGCGGUGAAAUGCGUAGAUAUCGAGAGGAACACCUGCGGCGAAGGCGGGUUGCUGGGCUGACACUGACGCUGAGGCGCGAAAGCUAGGGGGAGCGAACGGGG